UGGUUAGUAGAUUAAGAAGGCUGCUGCAUCUAUUUUCAGUGUCUUGUGUUAUCUUCCAUUGCUCAUUUCCUUCUAUUGUUUCACACUUCUAGGGGUUGAACCUUGGACAUUUGAACAAAGAGUAGGAGAGGCCAUCUUUAUUCCUGCUGGUUGUCCACACCAAGUUAGAAAUCUCAAGGUAAUUCCUCCUUUUAUCACCUAAUAUAUGACAUGAGAAUGAACGUCAGAAACGGCAAUAAAUAGAUAAUACUACUUUUAUUACUUAAAACUGAUUCUCCUAUCCUGGUUUACAUUUAAAUAUAAGUAAUCUCGCAUGGUAUUGUUGGGUACUAAAGCUAAGAAGUUUUUUUUUCCUCCUUCCCACCUGCCCAAGCAGUCAUGUACAAAAGUUGCUGUGGAUUUUGUCUCCCCUGAAAAUAUCCAUGAAUGCCUCCUCUUAACAGAGGAGUUCCGGCAGCUUCCGAAAAACCACAGAGCAAGAGAGGACAAACUUGAGGUAACUUAUUUCUGCUAAUGAUUUACUUGUCGUCAGUGAAUUUGAUAACAUCAUUUCUGUAUCUUAGGCUACUUUUCCUCCUUGUUUUAUGUAACAGAUCAAGAAGAUGAUCGUCUAUGCAGUUGAACAAGCCAUUAAAGAUUUACAAAAGGUAAUAUGCUCCAAGAGAAGACUGUAGAACACACCAGCUAACUUUAGCUCCUUUUUCCCAAUUUUUUUAAUUAACGAUGCCAUUCCUCGCCCUUGUCACCGUCCAAGGAUAAUGGCGACAUGUAACAGGCAGAAUUUUUGAAGAGUAGGCUGAUUUAAGAGUAUGAAUUAAUACAAGGCAUACAAGUGAAAAAAAUAAAUAAAUAGAAAAAUUUGAGUCGAAGUUGCAGCAACUUCCCAUGUUUCUGAAAGUUAGUUUACGUGAAAUGUAUUGCCUUAAAAUCCUUUGGCAGAAGACAAUAAUCCCAUUGGCCCAUCUGUUUGCCAAAAGAUAGAGGCAAGAUCUACAUUUUCAGAUGCCUCCUUUAUUUUGGAACGGCAGAUUGUCAGAAUAAGACGCCAAAACAAAGCUUGCAUAGCGGGCACAACUGAAAAUUUUCAUUUUUCAUUGUUCUUGAUUAUUGUAUGUGAUGGUGAUUUCCUUUUGAUGAGAUAUUGUCUGCCUGUUGUACAACGAGUUCUUUAAACCAAUGCACUUAAGACCAAGGAACUAAAAGCUAACAGCCAAAACAGAAAAGAAUCAAGUUUAUCGUUUGCUCGAUUUCAAACAGAUGAUACAUUUCAAUAGGUCUCUACUCCUGAAUACCUUGAGGAAAUGAAAGACUUGCAAAAAGAAAUAACAAGUUCCAUUCAGCAUUCUGCUGUACAAUAUAAAAUGAUAUACAAUAGAAUCUCUUUAUAGUGAUUACACUGAUACCUAUGAUUAUAAGAAAAUUAUAACUUAAUGGAGGUUUAAGUAUUAAAUUUUUUUUUUAAAAUUAAUACUUAAUCUGUUUGUGAUAUACGAUAGAAACAAAAAAUAAAAUAUGUUAAUAUCUUGACAUAUUAUAUAAAUAAAAUAAAUGAGACCAAAUAAUACUAUAGCAAGUCAAAAUAUAGCAUAGCAUAUAUUUUUUAAAAUUAUAUAUAUAAAUAUUACUAUAUAGAGAAAAAAUUUCUUAAGACGGAACUUAAAAAUUUUAUAAGUUAUUAUAAUAGAGAGUUGAUUUCUAUAUAAUUUCAUAUUAUACAAAUAAUAUUAAUGAGACCAAAUAAUACUUCAGUGAGUCAAAAUAUAAUAUAAUAUAUAUUCUUUAAAAUUGUAUAUACAAAUAUUACUAUAUAGAGAAAAAAUUUCUUAAAACGGAACUUAAAAAUUUUAUAAGUUAAUAUAUAGAGAGUUGAUUUCUAUAUAAUUUCAUAUCAUACAAAUAAGAUUAAUGAGACCAAAUAAUACAACAUUAAGUCAAAAUAUAAUAUAAUAUAUAUUUUUUAAAAUUGUAUAGAUAAAUAUUAUUAUAUAAAAAAAUAUUUUCUCAUGACAUAAUUUAAAAAACUUAUAAGUUAUUAUAAUAGAGAGUUUAUUUCUAUUUAAAAUAUAUCAAAUUGAAAUUAAAUUUUUUUAUCAUUAUAUAUAAAUUAUUUCUAUAUAGAAUAUCACUGUAAGAGUUCUAAUAGAAUAACAUUAAUAAAAAGAUAAGUACAUUUUAUGCUUUUGAGAAAAGUUUUCAAGUGCUAAGAUCCAAUUGAAAUCAUUGUUUACUAAUGAAUAGUGUCUUUUUCUUAAGUUUACUAUUUUCUUAUUUAUUAAUAGGACUACUAUAGAGUUUGAACUCAAAAUUGAAAUAAAACUAAUAUAAGAAUUAGCCAAAUAAUAUUUGUUGUCCCUAUAUGAUAAAAUUUAUUUUCAUCAUGCAUUAUUUCAAGUAUAUGAUGAAAUUUAUAAAGGUUUAACAUCUAUUUGUUAUUAGAUGUUUUAAUUAUACAAGCUCAAAAGGUUUUAGCAUUAGUGAGGAAAAUUUUGUUUAUACACUAUGCUAAAAGUAUUGUGGAUAAUAUAAUAUAAAUAGUCAUUCUCUUUACAUAUUUUAAAUUAUAAAAAUAAUAUUUAUUUAAAAAAAACACGCUCAUGAUUUUAUAUAUUUUUAAUUGAAUUAACUUGUUUAAGAAUAUUAAUAUUAGUAAUUGAAUGUCAAACUUUAAUUAAAUAAAGAAAUGUAAAUACUUAUAAGUUAUAUAUUAAUAUUUUUAUGUUAAGGCUGGUUCUGAACACCGCAUGACAUCAUCUUCAACCAACAUCCACAUAAGCAAUAAAAGUUUAUGGCUAAAGUAUCACAUGAAAACUAAUUUCUUAUGUGAUUUACCCUUUAAACCACUAAUUGAUAUUUGUUAGACUUUUAAUCUUAACAAGGCAUUGGUAUGUAAAGUGAAUAACUUGAUAGAUUGCUAAAGAAGAAGUCAAUUGUUCAUGAAAGCCUUUGAAAUAAUCAAAUUAUCUAUUGAGAUAUAGUACUCACCUUGAUACUUGCCUUUGCAUGGUAUCCCUCCCCUCCACACUUGCAUUAGAGUAUAUAUCCUAAAUCCAUCCUUAAUAGGGGAUGCCUCCUUUACAAACUCACAACCCAAAAUUUGCUUGUCAAACAAGCCUUUCAUAGUUUUGUUUCUCACACAAAUAAUUGUGGUGCAAGUUCUCCUUUUAUAGGCCAUUUGAACACAAAUUAGGGCACCAUUCUUGU
rnacentral:lncRNA from 1 species